AACCUGCCCCGAAGAGGGGGAUAACCAUCCGAAAGGGUGGCUAAUACCCCAUAUACUCCGAUUUAUUCGGAGGAAAGCUUUCGCGCUUCGGGAGGGGCCUGCGUAACAUUAGCUUGUUGGUGAGGUAAAAGCUCACCAAGGCUACGAUGUUUAGCUGGUUUGAGAGGAUGAUCAGCCACACUGGGACUGAGAUACGGCCCAGACUCCUACGGGAGGCAGCAGUGAGGAAUAUUCCACAAUGGGGGCAACCCUGAUGGAGCGAUGCCGCGUGCAGGAAGACGCUUUUCGGAGUGUAAACUGCUUUUAACAGGGAAGAUUAUGACGGUGCCUGUAGAAUAAGGACCGGCUAACUACGUGCCAGCAGCCGCGGUAAUACGUAGGGUCCAAGCGUUAUUCGGAAUUACUGGGCGUAAAGCGUUCGUAGGCGGUUUGAUAAGUUGGAUGUGAAAUCCUGUGGCUCAACCACAUGGACUGUGUCCAAAACUAUCUAACUAGAGCAUAGUAGAGGCAAGUGGAAUUUCUGGUGUAGGAGUGACAUCCGUAGAUAUCAGAAGGAACACCAAUGGCGAAGGCAGCUUGCUGGGCUAUUGCUGACGCUCAGGAACGAAAGCGUGGGGAGCGAACGGGAUUAGAUACCCCGGUAGUCCACGCCGUAAACGAUGAU
rnacentral:rRNA from 1 species